GCCCUGGUGUUGAAAUUGGUAGACAAGCAUGUUUGAGGGGCAUGUGCCAGAAAUGGCGUGGGAGUUCGAGUCUCCCCCAGGGCA
rnacentral:tRNA from 1 species